rnacentral:rRNA from 1 species
UACGUAGGGGGCAAGCGUUGUCCGGAAUUAUUGGGCGUAAAGCGCGUGUAGGCGGUUGCCCAAGUCGGGUGUGAAAGCCUUGAGCUCAACUCAAGAAAUGCACUCGGUACUGGGUGACUAGAGGACCGGAGAGGAUAGUGGAAUUCCCAGUGUAGUGGUGAAAUACGUAGAGAUUGGGAAGAACACCAGUGGCGAAGGCGGCUAUCUGGACGGUUUCUGACGCUAAGACGCGAAAGCGUGGGGAGCAAACAGG